rnacentral:rRNA from 1 species
AUUGAACGCUGGCGGCAUGCUUUACACAUGCAAGUCGAACGGUAACAGGCCGCCAGGUGCUGACGAGUGGCGCACGGGUGAGUAAUGCAUCGGAACGUGCCCAGUCGUGGGGGAUAACUACUCGAAAGAGUAGCUAAUACCGCAUACGAUCUAUGGAUGAAAGCGGGGGACCGUAAGGCCUCGCGCGAUUGGAGCGGCCGAUGUCAGAUUAGGUAGUUGGUGGGGUAAAGGCUCACCAAGCCAACGAUCUGUAGCUGGUCUGAGAGGACGACCAGCCACACUGGGACUGAGACACGGCCCAGACUCCUACGGGAGGCAGCAGUGGGGAAUUUUGGACAAAGGGCGCAAGCCUGAUCCAGCAAUGCCGCGUGCAGGAAGAAGGCCUUCGGGUUGUAAACUGCUUUUGUACGGAACGAAACGGCUCUGGUUAAUACCCGGGGCUAAUGACGGUACCGGAAGAAUAAGCACCGGCUAACUACGUG